GACGAACCGUGCGAACGUUAUUCGGAAUCACUGGGCUUAAAAGGGCGCGUAGGCGGGUUGCCAAGUCUGUGGUGAAAUCCUCCAGCUUAACUGGAGAACGGCCGUGGAUACUGGCGACCUCGAGGGGGGUAGGGGCUUGCGGAACUGUGCGUGGAGCGGUGAAAUGCGUUGAUAUGCACAGGAACUCCGGUGGCGAAGGCGGCGAGCUGGACCCUUUCUGACGCUGAGGCGCGAAAGCCAGGGGAGCGAACGGG
rnacentral:rRNA from 1 species